GAUGAACGCUGGCGGCGUGCCUAAUACAUGCAAGUCGAGCGAACAGACGAGGAGCUUGCUCCUCUGACGUUAGCGGCGGACGGGUGAGUAACACGUGGAUAACCUACCUAUAAGACUGGGAUAACUUCGGGAAACCGGAGCUAAUACCGGAUAAUAUAUUGAACCGCAUGGUUCAAUAGUGAAAGACGGUUUUGCUGUCACUUCUAGAUGGAUCCGCGCCGCAUUAGCUAGUUGGUAAGGUAACGGCGUACCAAGGCAACGAUGCGUAGCCGACCUGAGAGGGUGAUCGGCCAUACUGGAACUGAGACACGGUCCAGACUCCUAGGGGAGGCAGCAGUAGGGAAUCUUGCGCAAUGGGCGAAAGCCUGACGGAGCAACGCCGCGUGAGUGAUGAAGGUCUCCGGAUCGUAAAACUCUGUUAUUAGGGAAGAACAAAUGUGUAAGUAACUAUGCACGUCUUGACGGUACCUAAUCAGAAAGGCACGGCUAACUACGUG
rnacentral:rRNA from 1 species